CAGCAGCCGCGGGAAUACGAAGGGGGCUAGCGUUGCUCGGAAUGACUGGGCGUAAAGGGCGCGUAGGCGGUUUUGACAGUCAGAUGUGAGAUUUCUGGGCUUAACCUGGGGGCUGCAUUUGAGACGUCAAGACUGGAGUGUGAGAGAGGGUUGUGGAAUUCCCAGUGUAGAGGUGAAAUUCGUAGAUAUUGGGAAGAACACCGGUGGCGAAGGCGGCAACCUGGCUCAUUACUGACGCUGAGGCGCGAAAGCGUGGGGAGCAAACAGGAUUAGAUACCCGCGUAGUCCCUGUCUCUUAUAC
rnacentral:rRNA from 1 species